AAAGGAAUUGACGGGGGAGCGCACAACCGGUGGAGCAUGUGGUUUAAUUCGAUACAAAGCGAAAGACCUCACCCAGGUUUAAUAUAUCUGCAAAUCCAGUGAAAGCUGGACUUCUUCGAGAGUGAUAUACAGCUGUUGCAUGGCUGUCGUCAGUUCGUGUCGUGAGACGUUUCUUUAAGUAGAAUAACGAACGCAACCCCUAUCGUGUGUUGAAUUUUCACGCGAGACUGCUCUUGAUAGUAUCAAGGGAGGAAGGAGGGGACGAUGUCAAGUCAGCAUGACGCUUACACCUGGGGCCACACACAUCCUACAAUGGGAAGUACAAUGGGUUGCCAACCAGCAAUGGGGAGCCAAUCCCGUAAAACUUCCCUCAGUUCAGAUUGAGGGCUGCAACUCGCCCUCAUGAAGUCGGAAUCGGUAGUAAUCGCAGAUCAGCAGGCUGCGGUGAAUACGUUCUCGCUCCUUGUACACACCGCCCGU
rnacentral:rRNA from 1 species